AGAGUUUGAUCCUGGCUCAGGACGAACGCUGGCGGCGUGCCUAAUACAUGCAAGUAGAACGCUGAAAUAAGAGCUUGCUCUUAUGGAUGAGUUGCGAACGGGUGAGUAACACGUGGGGAACCUACCUUCUAGCGGGGGAUAACACAUAGAAAUGUGUGCUAAUACCGCAUAAUAGUGUUUGAUGCAUAUCAGAUACUUGAAAGGCGCAAUUGCGUCACUAGAAGAUGGCCCCGCGGUGCAUUAGCUAGUUGGUGAGGUAACGGCUCACCAAGGCAAUGAUGCAUAGCCGACCUGAGAGGGUGAUCGGCCACACUGGGACUGAGACACGGCCCAGACUCCUACGGGAGGCAGCAGUAGGGAAUCUUCGGCAAUGGACGCAAGUCUGACCGAGCAACGCCGCGUGAGUGAAGAAGGUUUUCGGAUCGUAAAACUCUGUUGUAAGAGAAGAACGUUGAUGAGAGUGGAAAGUUCAUCAAGUGACGGUAUCUUACCAGAAAGCCACGGCUAACUACGUGCCAGCAGCCGCGGUAAUACGUAGGUGGCAAGCGUUGUCCGGAUUUAUUGGGCGUAAAGCGAGCGCAGGCGGUUGAUUAAGUCUGAUGUGAAAGCCCCCGGCUCAACCGGGGAGGGUCAUUGGAAACUGGUCAACUUGAGUGCAGAAGAGGAGAGUGGAAUUCCAUGUGUAGCGGUGAAAUGCGUAGAUAUAUGGAGGAACACCAGUGGCGAAGGCGGCUCUCUGGUCUGUAACUGACGCUGAGGCUCGAAAGCGUGGGGAGCGAACAGGAUUAGAUACCCUGGUAGUCACGUCGUAAACGAUGAGUGCUAGUGUUGGAGGGUUUCCGCCCUCAGUGCUGCAGCUACGCAUAGCACUCCGCUGGGGAGUACGACGCAGUGAACUCAAGAUUGACG
rnacentral:rRNA from 1 species